CCUACGGGUGGCAGCAGUAGGGAAUAUUGGACAAUGGGUGAGAGCCUGAUCCAGCCAUGCCGCGUGCAGGAAGAAGGCGUUAUGCGUUGUAAACUGCUUUUGCCAGGGGAUAAAACGGUUCUGCGGAACUAAUUGAAGGUACCUGGUGAAUAAGCCACGGCUAACUACGUGCCAGCAGCCGCGGUAAUACGUAGGUGGCAAGCGUUGUCCGGAUUUAUUGGGUUUAAAGGGUGCGUAGGCGGCCCUGUAAGUCAGUGCUGAAAUAUCCCGGCUUAACCGGGAGGGUGGCAUUGAUACUGCAGGGCUUGAGUACAGAUGAGGUAGGCGGAAUUGACGGUGUAGCGGUGAAAUGCAUAGAUAUCGUCAAGAACACCGAUAGCGAAGGCAGCUUACCAAGCUGUAACUGACGCUGAGGCACGAAAGUGUGGGGAUCAAACAGGAUUAGAUACCCGAGUAGUC
rnacentral:rRNA from 1 species